AAACAUCGGGCUAUGCAUGUAGAGGUCCGCGCGGAACCACUUUCGGACGCGGGUUCGAUUCCCGCCGCCUCCACCA
rnacentral:tmRNA from 1 species